GAUGAACGCUGGCGGCGUGCCUAAUACAUGCAAGUCGAGCGAACAGACGAGGAGCUUGCUCCUCUGACGUUAGCGGCGGACGGGAGAGUAACACGUGGAUAACCUACCUAUAAGACUGGGAUAAUUUCGGGAAACCGGAGCUAAUACCGGAUAACAUGUUGAACCGCAUGGUUUAACAGUGAAAGACGGUCUUGCUGUCACUUAUAGAUGGAUCCGCGCCGCAUUAGCUAGUUGGUAAGGUAACGGCUUACCAAGGCAACGAUGCGUAGCCGACCUGAGAGGGUGGACGGCCACCCGGGAACUGAGACACGGUCCAGACUCCUGCGGGAGGCAGCAGUAGGGAAUCUUCCGCAAUGGGCGAGAGCCUGACGGAGCAACGCCGCGUGAGUGAAGAAGGUCUUCGGAUCGUAAAACUCUGUUAUUAGGGAAGAACAAAUGUGUAAGUAACUAUGCACGUCUUGACGGUACCUAAUCAAAAAGCCACGGCUAACUACGUG
rnacentral:rRNA from 1 species